rnacentral:rRNA from 1 species
AGGUAGCUUGCUACUGGACCUAGCGGCGGACGGGUGAGUAAUGCUUAGGAAUCUGCCUAUUAGUGGGGGACAACAUCUCGAAAGGGAUGCUAAUACCGCAUACGUCCUACGGGAGAAAGCAGGGGACCUUCGGGCCUUGCGCUAAUAGAUGAGCCUAAGUCGGAUUAGCUAGUUGGUGGGGUAAAGGCCUACCAAGGCGACGAUCUGUAGCGGGUCUGAGAGGAUGAUCCGCCACACUGGGACUGAGACACGGCCCAGACUCCUACGGGAGGCAGCAGUGGGGAAUAUUGGACAAUGGGGGGAACCCUGAUCCAGCCAUGCCGCGUGUGUGAAGAAGGCCUUUUGGUUGUAAAGCACUUUAAGCGAGGAGGAGGCUACCGAGAUUAAUACUCUUGGAUAGUGGACGUUACUCGCAGAAUAAGCACCGGCUAACUCUGUGCCAGCAGCCGCGGUAAUACAGAGGGUGCAAGCGUUAAUCGGAUUUACUGGGCGUAAAGCGCGCGUAGGUGGCCAAUUAAGUCAAAUGUGAAAUCCCCGAGCUUAACUUGGGAAUUGCAUUCGAUACUGGUUGGCUAGAGUAUGGGAGAGGAUGGUAGAAUUCCAGGUGUAGCGGUGAAAUGCGUAGAGAUCUGGAGGAAUACCGAUGGCGAAGGCAGCCAUCUGGCCUAAUACUGACACUGAGGUGCGAAAGCAUGGGGAGCAAACAGGAUUAGAUACCCUGGUAGUCCAUGCCGUAAACGAUGUCUACUAGCCGUUGGGGCCUUUGAGGCUUUAGUGGCGCAGCUAACGCGAUAAGUAGACCGCCUGGGGAGUACGGUCGCAAGACUAAAACUCAAAUGAAUUGACGGGGGCCCGCACAAGCGGUGGAGCAUGUGGUUUAAUUCGAUGCAACGCGAAGAACCUUACCUGUCUUGACAUAGU